rnacentral:lncRNA from 1 species
ACACCAUGGAAAAUAAAAAAGGUUGUCCAGCAUAUUGAGUUUAAAUUUAAAUCCGUCUCUCUCAGGAAGCAGACUUUAGCAACAAAGAUGGAAACACCUCAGAGGAAUAUGUCUGAAGCCUAAUGAGCAGGAAUAUCUUUCAAAUUCACCAAGAAAAGCGGGAUCCUUUCUUCUGAAAAAUGGAUGAACAAAAACCUAAUCUCUCCCCUUUUAUAUAGCAAUAAUUCUGCAGUGUCUGAUUAAGAAGUUUUUUGUUUCUUUCUAGUUCACUAAGUGUCUACUUUCUGUUUUUAAGAGGUUAACGUGACAGCAGUAAAAUCAACUGCCUCUUUAUAUGUAUCUUGGUCUGACCAAAUAAAAGAUGUUAGGAAUGGUCUCAGAAUGGUAGGUCUAUUUCUUGUCAAUACAAGUCUGUAACAAUAUUAUGAAAUAUUUCCAAAAUGCGUAUUUAGCAUUUACCGGCAUUUGCAGAAGUUAGGUGCUUAGAUAUUAUUGAAUAUAAUGGGAGUUAGGAAUUUCUUGAUAAUGUCAGAUGUCCAAAUACGCAAAUAACUGCUAGUUUUUAACCCACUUAAACUGAUGAGAGCUAAGUAUCCAGUACUGCAAAAUCUUUUAAACAUGAUUCUGGCCUUUUCAGUCUUUCUUGAAACUGAGAUUGGACUGUUUUAAUCAUGAACAUGGUUUAGAAAAGUUUGUCUUGAUUGUUGGUGUAUCUUGUUCCUGAGGGAGAUACCAUUACUAUUUCAAAUAUCUCAUUGUCAUGUCAGCAUUUGACACAUGAAUGCUAUUAAUCUGUGUUCGGUAUAUCUAUCCUUGAUGAUUUUUACUCUGAAUAUGAGAAGAUGCAGUCACAACUGUGGAUGUUUCAAAAGCAUGUCAAGAUUUUGUUGGUGAUGAAACAUAUGAAAAGUGAAUACAAAAUUCCAAAUGUUACUGCAUUACACUCCUGUGGUGGGAGACUAUUAAAUCCCUGCACUGUGUGUGAUAAAAUGCCUGCUUCCUGCUUCUUCCCGCCUGGGUAAGUAUUGAAAAGUCUUUGUCUUUUUUUCUGCACUUCAUCACAUGGCAAACUUGUGUCUAAUUUACUUUUCACUACCAUAUUGAGAUUUUUCUAGGUUUUUGGUUCUAAUUGAAUAACAAAGUUUUAGACAAUUUCCUGGAGUUACAAGCUAGAGUGACCAUCUGUGGGCCUAAGAGUCAUUAAGUUUCCAUGUCAUUUCCACCCAUUGUCUUCCUUUUAGGCUAUCCAUAAGGAUUCCAGUUAGCAACCAAACGUAAUGAUGGGUUGGUUUUUUGUGUCAUGGGGAACACCUGUCUGUUGGGAAGAAACUGAAGCUUCCAACUUUUUUAAAGUAGCUCAGUGAAGAACUGUCAGUUGGGAGCAACGUUUGCUCACUAGCAAUCUGGUUUGGCCAUGUCAAAUCCAUGACCCAAAACUGAAAGAUGUGGUUGCCUGAUCAGCCUGUUUGUUCAAGACUAAAAUAUAAUUGAGUUUAGGCUAAAACAUAACUUUCUUUAUCAGGUCAUAUAAUAGCAUUUGAAUAGCUUUAUGUAUGCUUGGCUAUACUUAUAAUGCUCUUUCUACAAAAUUCCCUUCUCCAAUUAACUUAUUUUUUUUUACUGAGUGUAUAGAUCCGGUGUGGAAUUAGGGGGUAUCCCAAGCACAAUAAGGACCAAAACGAAUAUACAGAGAGGUCCCACCUUCUGGUUUAUUAGCUGAAUUUAAAAUUAAGUGACAAACUCAAAGUGUGAGAGAAACAUAUUUUAUAUAUGUUCUUACAUUUGGGUAUCCUAUUAAAAACUGAUUUGUUUUCCUGCCUAUGGUUCAGACGUUGCAUUUAGUCCCUGUAUUGCUCAUUUCUUUCCUCAGGAGCUGGUCUGUCAGUAGUGAAUUUCAGUUUUAUUAAUGAAUUCUUCUUACCUAUCAAUCCUUCUGCAUUUUUUAACUCAGUUCUGAUUUGUUUAUUUAUUUAUUUUUACUUCUGUCCUAAAAUGUUGUGUCCUGUGUUUACAGAAGCUGUAGUCUACCACAGUGACAGCUGCAUUUCAGGAGUGGCAUUUUCUGUUCUUUCUGGUGUAUAAUUUCCAAAGCUGUCUUAAAACAAGGGAAAUACAAUUGGCAUUUUUCCUACAGCACCCACACGAUUACAAGUGCUAUGUGGAAAUGAUACAAAGUCUGUUUCCCUGCCCAAAGGACUUCUCAAUCAUUUUUUAAGAGUAGUUUAGCAAGUGGAAUCAGAAAAUAGUAUGGAACACGUGCAAAGGAAGCAUUCUGCAGCAAUUAUUUCUUUGACUGAUCAGAUCAGAUGCACACACAGCUGCAAAAGAAAGAUUUUCUUGUAGCAAUAAUUAUUGCUAAUAAAUGACUCUUAUGAAUAUGAUGGGGAUGGCUA